AUUGAACGCUGGCGGCAUGCCUUACACAUGCAAGUCGAACGGCAGCGGGGGAGAAGCUUGCUUUUCCUGCCGGCGAGUGGCGAACGGGUGAGUAAUACAUCGGAACGUGCCCUGUAGUGGGGGAUAACUAGUCGAAAGAUUAGCUAAUACCGCAUACAACCUGAGGGUGAAAGUGGGGGACCGCAAGGCCUCAUGCUAUAGGAGCGGCCGAUGUCUGAUUAGCUAGUUGGUGGGGUAAAGGCCUACCAAGGCGACGAUCAGUAGCUGGUCUGAGAGGACGAUCAGCCACACUGGGACUGAGACACGGCCCAGACUCCUACGGGAGGCAGCAGUGGGGAAUUUUGGACAAUGGGCGAAAGCCUGACCCAGCAAUGCCGCGUGCAGGAAGAAGGCCUUCGGGUUGUAAACUGCUUUUGUACGGAGCGAAAAGGCUCUCUCUAAUACAGGGGGCUCAUGACGGUACCGUAAGAAUAAGCACCGGCUAACUACGUGCCAGCCGCCGCGGUAA
rnacentral:rRNA from 1 species